rnacentral:rRNA from 1 species
GACGAACGCUGGCGGCGUGCUUAACACAUGCAAGUCGAACGAAGUGGCGAACGGGUGAGUAACGCGUAAUCAACCUGCCCUUCAGAGGGGGACAACAGUUGGAAACGACUGCUAAUACCGCAUACUGAAGGAGGGGAUUGCGUCUGAUUAGCUAGUUGGAGGGGUAACGGCCCACCAAGGCGAUGAUCAGUAGCCGGUCUGAGAGGAUGAACGGCCACAUUGGGACUGAGACACGGCCCAGACUCCUACGGGAGGCAGCAGUGGGGAAUCUUCCGCAAUGGACGAAAGUCUGACGGAGCAACGCCGCGUGAAUGAAGAAGGCCUUCGGGUUGUAAAGGACUUUUGUCAGGGAAGCGGUACCUGAAGAAUAAGCACCGGCUAACUACGUGCCAGCCGCCGCGGUAAUAC